rnacentral:rRNA from 1 species
UACGUAGGGUGCGAGCGUUAAUCGGAAUUACUGGGCGUAAAGCGUACGCAGGCGGCUAUGCAAGACAGGUGUGAAAUCCCCGGGCUUAACCUGGGAACUGCAUUUGUGACUGCAUAGCUAGAGUCUGUCAGAGGGGGGUGGAAUUCCACGUGUAGCAGUGAAAUGCGUAGAGAUGUGGAGGAACACCGAUGGCGAAGGCAGCCCCCUGGGACCUGACUGACGCUCAUGUACGAAAGCGUGGGGAGCAAACAGG